UACGUAGGGAGCAAGCGUUGUCCGGAAUCAUUGGGCGUAAAGCGCGCGUAGGCGGCCUCAUAAGUCCGUUGUGAAAGUCAAAGGCUCAACCUUUGAAAGCCGAUGGAUACUGUGAGGCUAGAGUCCGGAAGAGGCGAGUGGAAUUCCUGGUGUAGCGGUGGAAUGCGCAGAUAUCAGGAGGAACACCGGUGGCGAAGGCGGGAUCCUGGGCCAGUACUGACGCUGAGGAGCGAAAGCGUGGGGAGCAGACAGG
rnacentral:rRNA from 1 species